rnacentral:rRNA from 1 species
GCAUGGCUGUCGUCAGCUCGUGUUGUGAAAUGUUGGGUUAAGUCCCGCAACGAGCGCAACCCUUAUCCUUUGUUGCCAGCGGCUCGGCCGGGAACUCAAAGGAGACUGCCGGUGAUAAACCGGAGGAAGGUGGGGAUGACGUCAAGUCAUCAUGGCCCUUACGGCCAGGGCUACACACGUGCUACAAUGGCGCAUACAAAGAGAAGCGACCUCGCGAGAGCAAGCGGACCUCACAAAGUGCGUCGUAGUCCGGAUUGGAGUCUGCAACUCGACUCCAUGAAGUCGGAAUCGCUAGUAAUCGUAGAUCAGAAUGCUACGGUGAAUACGUUCCCGGGCCUUGUACACACCGCCCGUCACACCAUGGGAGUGGGUUGCAAAAGAAGUAGGUAGCUUAACCUUCGGGAGGGCGCUUACCACUUUGUGAUUCAUGACUGGGGUGAAGUCGUAACAAGGUAGGCGUAGCGAG